rnacentral:rRNA from 1 species
CAGUAGCCGCGGUAAUACAGAGGGUGCGAGCGUUAAUCGGAUUUACUGGGCGUAAAGCGUGCGUAGGCGGCUUCUUAAGUCGGAUGUGAAAUCCCUGAGCUUAACUUAGGAAUUGCAUUCGAUACUGGGAAGCCAGAGUAUGGGAGAGGAUGGUAGAAUUCCAGGUGUAGCGGUGAAAUGCGUAGAGAUCUGGAGGAAUACCGAUGGCGAAGGCAGCCAUCUGGCCUAAUACUGACGCUGAGGUACGAAAGCAUGGGGAGCAAACAGGAUUAGAUACCCCAGUAGUCCCUGUCUCUUAUAC